rnacentral:rRNA from 1 species
CCUACGGGAGGCAGCAGUGAGGAAUAUUGGUCAAUGGACGAGAGUCUGAACCAGCCAAGUAGCGUGAAGGAUGACUGCCCUAUGGGUUGUAAACUUCUUUUAUAUGGGAAUAAAACGUUCCACGUGUGGGAUUUUGUAUGUACCAUAUGAAUAAGGAUCGGCUAACUCCGUGCCAGCAGCCGCGGUAAUACGGAGGAUCCGCGCGUUAUCCGGAUUUAUUGGGUUUAAAGGGAGCGUAGGUGGAUUGUUAAGUAAGUUGUGAAAGUUUGCGGCUCAACCGUAAAAUUGCAGUUGAAACUGGCAGUCUUGAGUACAGUAGAGGUGUGCGGAAUUCGUGGUGUAGCGGUGAAAUGCUUAGAUAUCACGAAGAACUCCGAUUGCGAAGGCAGUUCACUGGACUGCAACUGACACUGAGGCUCGAAAGUGUGGGUAUCAAACAGGAUUAGAUACCUCUGUAGUC